rnacentral:rRNA from 1 species
AUACGUAGGUGGCAAGCGUUGUCCGGAUUUAUUGGGCGUAAAGCGAGCGCAGGCGGUUUCUUAAGUCUGAUGUGAAAGCCCCCGGCUCAACCGGGGAGGGUCAUUGGAAACUGGGAAACUUGAGUGCAGAAGAGGAGAGUGGAAUUCCAUGUGUAGCGGUGAAAUGCGUAGAUAGAUGGAGGAACACCAGUGGCGAAGGCGGCUCUUUGGUCUGUACCUGACGCUGAGGCUCGAAAGCGUGGGGAGCAAACAGGAUUAGAUACCCUGGUAGUCCACGCCGUAAACGAUGAGUGCUAAGUGUUGGAGGGUUUCCGCCCUUCAGUGCUGCAGCUAACGCAUUAAGCACUCCGCCUGGGGAGUACGACCGCAAGGUUGAAACUCAAAGGAAUUGACGGGG